UCAUUUUUGUACUUGAAGAUGUUUAAAGUAGAGAAAAAGAAUGUAAAGUUUAUUUUGAGCAUAUGUGAUGUAAAAAGAAAUGAUGCAAGCGAUGUAAUGAAAGGUAAAGAAUCAUGAAUGUACAAGUUGGAUAUAAUGUAUAUGAUCUAAAUCGAAUCAUAGUACAAAUUGAAUGUUAGUUUCCUUUCUUUCACUCAUGGCUAUUGCUUACCCUCGUGUAAGCCGUUAGUGUAUGUUUCCGCUAGUGCACUUCUUUUUGAAAAUGUACAUGUGAAGAGCCUUGGGCGGACAGGGAAAACUCUGUCCGUUCGGCGUCUGUUUGACGUGCUCGGGCCGACCCAA
rnacentral:lncRNA from 1 species